ACUCCGUGAUAACUUUUGGUCUCGUAAAAUUAAAAAUCUAGUAAUUUUCCAUCGUUAUUUAUUUUGCAAAGUUGAAGUUUACAUUUAUUAGUUUAUAAGAUAAAUUUUAUCAGAAAAAAAUAUUUAUCAUCGGAAACGUCGAAGGACAUAACAGUCAAUAUAUAUAAAGGUUGGUAAUUCGCGGAUCAGUAACAAAGAAGCUUGCAGAACAAUCGGUAAUAUAUAAUAAUUGCUUAUAUAUUUUUAAUUAUAAUUUUUAUUCUAUUGAAUUUACGAAUAAAAAAGUAAAAUAUUUUUUCAAGAUUUAAAAUAACAAAAUGUCGAAAAUAACUUUAAUAUUAUCAAUUUUCGUAUUGAUUGUUAUCUGUUCUGGUGCGUAUGCAGCAUGUCCUGGCGGUUGGUGCCAUCCAUCACAAGGAUAUGGCUGCUGUGAAGGACAUAUAUGCAGUUCGCAUUAUUUUCAAGGUACAUGUUUAACCGAUAAGGAAUGGGAGGAGAGAAACUCGGGGACAGUAAUAAUAUAGGAUCAGGAAAAUAAUCACAACAAUACAGUGAAGAUUUUAAAUGUAUUGUACCAAUUAAUAAAAAUCACUGUCUUACGAAAAAAAUUA